rnacentral:rRNA from 1 species
UGGGGAAUAUUGCGCAAUGGGCGAAAGCCUGACGCAGCCAUGCCGCGUGUGUGAAGAAGGCCUUAGGGUUGUAAAGCACUUUCAGUGGGGAGGAAGGCCUGUUGGCGAAUACCCAACAGGAUUGACGUUACCCACAGAAGAAGCACCGGCUAACUCCGUGCCAGCAGCCGCGGUAAUACGGAGGGUGCGAGCGUUAAUCGGAAUUACUGGGCGUAAAGCGCGCGUAGGCGGCUAGGUCAGUCGGAUGUGAAAGCCCCGGGCUCAACCUGGGAACGGCAUUCGAUACUGCCUGGCUAGAGUACGAGAGAGGGGGGUGGAAUUCCUAGUGUAGCGGUGAAAUGCGUAGAUAUUAGGAGGAACACCAGUGGCGAAGGCGGCCCCCUGGCUCGAUACUGACGCUGAGGUGCGAAAGCGUGGGUAGCAAACAGG